rnacentral:rRNA from 1 species
GAUGAACGCUGGCGGCGUGCCUAAUACAUGCAAGUCGAGCGAACAGACGAGGAGCUUGCUCCUCUGACGUUAGCGGCGGACGGGUGAGUAACACGUGGAUAACCUACCUAUAAGACUGGGAUAACUUCGGGAAACCGGAGCUAAUACCGGAUAAUAUAUUGAACCGCAUGGUUCAAUAGUGAAAGACGGUUUUGCUGUCACUUAUAGAUGGAUCCGCGCCGCAUUAGCUAGUUGGUAAGGUAACGGCUUACCAAGGCAACGAUGCGUAGCCGACCUGAGAGGGUGAUCGGCCACACUGGAACUGAGACACGGUCCAGACUCCUACGGGAGGCGGCAGUAGGGAAUCUUCCGCAAUGGGCGAAAGCUUGACGGAGCAACGCCGCGUGAGUGAUGAAGGUCUUCGGGUCGUAAAACUCUGUUAUUAGGGAAGAACAAAUGUGUAAGUAACUAUGCACGUCUUGACGGUACCUAAUCAGAAAGCCACGGCUAACUACGUG